rnacentral:rRNA from 1 species
GUGCCAGCAGCCGCGGUAAGACAGAGGGUGCAAACGUUGUUCGGAAUUACUGGGCGUAAAGCGCGUGUAGGCUGCUCCGCAAGUCGGAUGUGAAAGCCCUGGGCUCAACCUAGGAAGUGCAUUCGAUACUGCAGAGCUUGAGUCCUGGAGAGGAAGGCGGAAUUCUCGGUGUAGAGGUGAAAUUCGUAGAUAUCGAGAGGAACACCGGUGGCGAAGGCGGCCUUCUGGACAGUGACUGACGCUGAGACGCGAAAGCGUGGGGAGCAAACAGGAUUAGAAACCCCAGUAGUCC